rnacentral:tRNA from 1 species
AGUUUUAUAGUUAAAAAAUAAUAUAAAAUUGCAAAUUUUAAGUUGAUUAAAUCUAAAACUU